GGCGUCAUCGGCGGCUUUGACUCUAGUUCACUUCUACGACCAGAAGCUGAUGAAAUGGAAAGUCAAUAUGUUGAAAAGAUGAUCUCUGGCUGGGGGUGUGGCUCAAGGAUGGGUGGCAUCUCCAGCUCUGCAGAGGAGGAGCAGGAGCAGGAGAAGAAGGAGGUGGAGAGGUGGACAUGAGGCCACUAGUCCUUCAAUGGAGCGAGCCCACAGCUGAGCACCGAGUUUCAGCGAGCUACAUGACUUCUCAAAACCUGUCUCUUCUGUCCACACCUGCCGCACCUGCCCUCCACCCCAGGACAAGGCGACCAUGAUUCAGCUGUUCCAGCUGCUCCUAUUGUUCUAAUUGGCACAGAGGCAGCCCCAGGUGGCAUUUGCAGAAGAAGAAGACUUGUCUUACAGGAACAAAGGAAAGAACAAACGCAAACAAACGCAAGGUCCCUGGUGUCCCAAAGGACUUGGCACCCCACAGCCACUCACUGUUGCUGUGACUACUAAGAACGUUACUCAGUAAUGAUAAUGUUAUAAUCAAGGUUACAGUUGAAGAACCAGCCUGCUUCCAUUUUAGGCUUAAAGUAUGGCUCAGUGGUUAGGAGCACUGGCUGCUCUUCCAGAGG